GGCAUACGACGAGGAGGAUAUUAUCGAUUGAUUCGUUGAUGUUCUUCAUCAAAUUGAAACACUGAAUACUGCUACACUGCUCUCUGCUUCUCUGCAUUCCUUGCUGCUCUGAUGUCCAGGCUGCUGGCGAGCCUGCGCUGCUCUGCUGUUCUGAUACUCCAAAAAGGGGUAAACAGCGUUUAUACCUUUAGCGGCUGCGGCGCCACUGCUGGUGGAGGUGAUGACGGCAUUGCCUGCUGCUCAGCACCAUUGCAUGAUGUGCUCUGAUGGUCUGACUGGCGGCAGGGCGAGGUGGCUGCCUGAGCUACUCAACUCCGCGUACCCGCCAACUAACAUAUAAUAAACUCUAAGAGAGGUACCUAGAUGCACUUGUGCUCCUGUCCAUCACUGCAUCGGCGCAAGGCCCAAGUGCCAAACUCCUGCACUGUUACUCUAGUCCAGAACGCAAGGUCCAAAGAGUUGGACUCUAGCUGUCCAUUGCUCACUACUUCAGCUGUUUGGCUGGCAGUUUUCCAUCUUGCCCACGUGGACACUUCAACUCAUCUCCUGCUGCUGCUCUUGCACUGAAUUCCCGAGCUCAUUUGCCGAGGUGGUGACGUGUCGACGUGACGAGUUGACGACGCCACUGCUCCCAUCAUGACACUGACAGACUCACUACUUCUCUUCUUCUGAAUAACUCAAUAUAACAAAGCUCAGUGAAUACGGGAUAAGAGAUACAACUCUAGGCGGUGGAUCACUCGGCUCGUGCGUCGAUGAAGAGCGCAGCAAACUGCGUGAAGUAGUGUGAAUUGCAGGACACCUUGAUCAUCGACAUCUCGAACGCACAUUGCGGCCGAGGUUUCUAGCCUCGGCCACGUCUGUCUGAGGGUCGGCCUACUCUUAGGAGUAACCGCGCUGUAAUGCGGUUUGUUCAGGAGUUCAUUGACUCUAGGCGACGGCGAAGCUGAGAAGCUCAGAGCCGACCUGCUCAUUCGGGUUGGCUAGGGGUGGAUGGCGGAGCCGUGGCUGUUUGACAGUCGAUGCUCUUGUAAAUUGUCGAUCAGCGCCAGCGAGCAUGACCGGUCGCUCGACUAGUCGUGUUCGUUCGGGCCUUGGUCAAUUGGCAGGUCUCUGUCGUUGCAUUAGCAGAGAACUUCCUUGUCGUUGAACGCUCGCACUUCGGUUCAGUUGUCGUUCUCGCUGUUCUAGCUGGAGUCUGGCUAGUAUGAUUCUGGUGCGGAGUGCCUGGGUGUGAUGCAGUGAGGCGUUGCAUUGGCGUGGUUCGUCGUGUGGUGUCGUGUUCGUUUCGCGACCACCGGUGGCCAUGCUGCUCUGAGCAGUGCCGAAGCUGUGUCAUGUCUAGUCCCGACGGGCCGGGUCGUGCCAAGUGGACGCCUAUAGCGAUGACGGUUGCGACAUCGAUAGCCUCCGAUAGUGAGCGAAGCAAGGGAGAGCCGAUAGGCCAACGGUCAGCGGUGCUAAGCAGGCACAGGUCAGCUGGUCAACCAACCAGCUAGGUCUGUGAUCUUACUAUCACGCCUCAGUCAGUCGGUCAACGAACAA
rnacentral:rRNA from 1 species